CCCAUUGAAAAGUGGCCAUAUAUCUUUGAGUGGUUGGGAGAUAUGGCAGAUCUGCAACUCAUGUGAUUUACAUCCUGCAAUUAUCAUUUCAUAAUUAUUACUGCUGAAAUGAUAAUGGCUGUGUCCUGAGAACACUUUCCAGCGCCCUAACGGGAUGUAAUAGGAAGAUGAGAGCUAGCAGGAGCAAGAAAUGAAAAAUCAGCUUAAGCGAACCUCUUAUUCUAUAUUAGAUAUGUAGAGGACAUGAAGGAUGGAUAUAUUUUAACAGGGAUUUUUUUUCCCCUCACAGCAAUCACGGUUUCCCAUCAUGUGCAUGCAUUUUUGAACAUCUUAACACUUUGCUGACUUAUAUUUGCACCAUUUUCAGGGGA
rnacentral:misc_RNA from 1 species